ensembl:lncRNA
GUGGAGGGGUUGAGGGUAGAGGUAGAGGAGUGGGUGGUAGGAGUGGAGGGGUUGAGGGUAGAGGUAGAGGAGUGGGUGGUAGGAGUGGAGGGGUUGAGGGUAGAGGAGUGGGUGGUAGGAGUGGAGGGGUUGAGGGUAGAGGUAGAGGAGUGGGUGGUAGGAGUGGAGGGGUUGAGGGUAGAGGUAGAGGAGUGGGUGGUAGGAGUGGAGGGGUUGAGGGUAGGGGUAGAGGAGUGGGUGGUAGGAGUGGAGGGGUUGAGGGUAGAGGAGUGGGUGGUAGGAGUAGAGGGGUUGAGAGUAGAGGUAGAGGAGUGGGUGGUAGGAGAGGAGGGGUUGAGGGUAGAGGAAUGGGUGGUAGGAGUGGAGGGGUUGAGGGUAGAGGUAGAGGAGUGGGUGGUAGGAGUG